rnacentral:rRNA from 1 species
GUCGGAUUAGCUAGUUGGUAGGGUAACGGCCUACCAAGGCGACGAUCCGUAGCUGGUCUGAGAGGACGACCAGCCACACUGGGACUGAGACACGGCCCAGACUCCUACGGGAGGCAGCAGUGGGGAAUAUUGGACAAUGGGGGCAACCCUGAUCCAGCGACGCCGCGUGUGUGAAGAAGGCCUGCGGGUUGUAAAGCACUUUUAGUGGGGAUGAAAAGCUCAGGGCUAACACCUCUGAGUCUUGACCUAACCCACAGAAAAAGCACCGGCUAACUCUGUGCCAGCAGCCGCGGUAAUACAGAGGGUGCAAGCGUUAAUCGGAAUUACUGGGCGUAAAGCGUACGUAGACGGUUGGAUAAGUCGGAUGUGAAAGCCCCGGGCUCAACCUGGGAAUUGCAUUCGAGACUGUGCAGCUAGGGUGCGGAAGAGGGAAGCGGAAUUUCCGGUGUAGCGGUGAAAUGCGUAGAUAUCGGAAGGAACACCAGUGGCGAAAGCGGCUUCCUGGUCCAGCACCGACGUUCACGUACGAAAGCAUGGGGAGCA